UGGGGAAUAUUGGACAAUGGGGGCAGCCCUGAUCCAGCAAUGCCGCGUGUGUGAAGAAGGUCUUCGGAUUGUAAAGCACUUUCGACGGGGACGAUGAUGACGGUACCCGUAGAAGAAGCCCCGGCUAACUUCGUGCCAGCAGCCGCGGUAAUACGAAGGGGGCUAGCGUUGCUCGGAAUGACUGGGCGUAAAGGGCGUGUAGGCGGUUUACACAGUCAGAUGUGAAAUCCCCGGGCUUAACCUGGGAGCUGCAUUUGAUACGUGUAGACUAGAGUGUGAGAGAGGGUUGUGGAAUUCCCAGUGUAGAGGUGAAAUUCGUAGAUAUUGGGAAGAACACCGGUGGCGAAGGCGGCAACCUGGCUCAUGACUGACGCUGAGGCGCGAAAGCGUGGGGAGCAAACAGGUUAGAUACCCUGGUAGUCCACGCCUGUAAACGAUGUGU
rnacentral:rRNA from 1 species